rnacentral:rRNA from 1 species
AUUGAACGCUGGCGGCAGGCCUAACACAUGCCAGUCGAGCGGAUGAAGGGAGCUUGCUCCUGGAUUCAGCGGCGGACGGGUGAGUAAUGCCUAGGAAUCUGCCUGGUAGUGGGGGAUAACGUCCGGAAACGGGCGCUAAUACCGCAUACGUCCUGAGGGAGAAAGUGGGGGAUCUUCGGACCUCACGCUAUCAGAUGAGCCUAGGUCGGAUUAGCUAGUUGGUGGGGCAAAGGCCUACCAAGGCGACGAUCCGUAACUGGUCUGAGAGGAUGAUCAGUCACACUUGAACUGAGACACGGUCCAGACUCCUACGGGAGGCAGCAGUGGGGAAUAUUGGACAAUGGGCGAAAGCCUGAUCCAGCCAUGCCGCGUGUGUGAAGAAGGUCUUCGGAUUGUAAAGCACUUUAAGUUGGGAGGAAGGGCAGUAAGUUAAUACCUUGCUGUUUUGACGUUACCAACAGAAUAAGCACCGGCUAACUUCGUG